UCAGACUGAAAAUGAUCUCAGAUGUAACAGUGGUCUGAAGUCAGAUAACUGAGCCUAAAGUAUCGUGGUGCGUUAAGCUUAUCACCUGCUCACCUACUGGCAGAGCGAUAAAACCCAUGUACCAACAAAA